CCGAAUAUCCCGGGCUACACGCGAGCUACAAUGGUUGGUACAAUGGGUAUCUACCCCGAAAGGGGACGGGAAUCUCCUAAAACCAAUCUUAGUUCGGAUUGAGGGCUGCAACUCGCCCUCAUGAAGCUGGAAUCCGUAGUAAUCGCGUUUCAACAGAACGCGGUGAAUACGUCCCUGCUCCUU
rnacentral:rRNA from 1 species